UAUAUGAGAAUGUCUAUAGAAUGUGCACA
rnacentral:piRNA from 1 species